rnacentral:rRNA from 1 species
UUGAAUACUGGAAUGAACGACUUUACCUUUAUAAACUUUUUAAAUAUAAAAUUAUAUAAUUUAGAGUUUUAGUUAAAAUUCUGAAAUUUAUAAAAAAGACGAUAAGACCCUAAAAGCUUAAUUUUAAAAUAAACUAUUAAAUUCAACAAAAGUUUAUUAAAAUUUUUUACUGGGGUAGUACUAAUAUUUAUUUUUUAUUAACAAAUUAAUAAAUUUUUAUAUUCCUUAAUAUUAAGAUUAUAGAUAAGUUACUUUAGGGAUAACAGCGUAAUACUACUGAAAAGAACAUAUUUAUAGUCGUGAUUACGACCUCGAUGUUGAAUUAAUAAAUCUACUUAAAGCAGGUUUUAAGAAAGAAGGUUUGUUCAACCUUUAAU